GACGAACGCUGGCGGCGUGCCUAAUACAUGCAAGUAGAACGCUGAAGGAGGAGCUUGCUUCUCUGGAUGAGUUGCGAACGGGUGAGUAACGCGUAGGUAACCUGCCUGGUAGCGGGGAAUAACUAUUGGAAACGAUAGCUAAUACCGCAUAAGAGUAGAUGUCGCAUGACAUUUGCUUAAAGGGUGCAAUUGCAUCACUACCAGAUGGACCUGCGUUGUAUUAGCUAGUUGGUGAGGUAACGGCUCACCAAGGCAACGAUACAUAGCCGACCUGAGAGGGUGAUCGGCCACACUGGGACUGAGACACGGCCCAGACUCCUACGGGAGGCAGCAGUAGGGAAUCUUCGGCAAUGGACGGAAGUCUGACCGAGCAACGCCGCGUGAGUGAAGAAGGUUUUCGGAUCGUAAAGCUCUGUUGUAAGAGAAGAACGAGUGUGAGAGUGGAAAGUUCACACUGUGACGGUAUCUUACCAGAAAGGGACGGCUAACUACGUG
rnacentral:rRNA from 1 species